CCUCCGGUUGCUGGCGUGCAUGUAGUCGUGUCAGUACUGUUUGAGAGAGUGUUUUAUAUGGAGGGACAGUAACUGUCGGUGCCAUGUCUUCGGUAGCAGCGAGCUCGUAUCUCUGGUUCUAUCCUCAAUCACUGACACACCC